GGAGCUCAUGGAGGGGGAAAAGAAAAUAGAGAACAAGAGAAUUGGGCUUUUCGUAGGUUUCUACGAUUUACUGUUUAGAUUAGGAUUAAAGUAGGUGAACCAUUAAUUAGACGUUAUGUUUGUAGGAAAGGUAAAGGGUUGGAUUAAGAUGAGUGGACUAUUAAUUAAACGUUAUGUUUGUAGGAAAGGCGAAGGGUUGGAUUAAGGUGAGUGGGCUAUUAAUUAGAUGUUAUAGGUGGAGGGAAGAAUUAGAUAUUAUAGGUGGAGGGAAGACGACGUUAUGUGUAUAGGAAAGGCGAAGGGUUAGGUUAAGCUUAGUGGACUAUUAAUUAGAUGUUAUAGGUGAAGGGAAGCCGAAAAGUUGGUUUCGCUAAAGGAAGGAAACUCCGCCACGUAGCUUUUUUUUGGGGGAAUAAUGUAUAGGUAUAAAUGUGAAAUAUAUGAU
rnacentral:lncRNA from 1 species